GAUAAACGCUGGCGGCGUGCUUAACACAUGCAAGUCGAACGAAGUUUUUCCUUCGGGAGACACUUAGUGGCGGACGGGUGAGUAACGCGUGGGUAACCUGCCCUGUACAGGGGGACAACAGCUGGAAACGGCUGCUAAUACCGCAUAAGCCCUUAGCACUGCAUGGUGCAUAGGAAAAAGGAGCAAUCCGGUACAGGAUGGACCCGCGUCUGAUUAGCCAGUUGGCAGGGUAACGGCCUACCAAAGCGACGAUCAGUAGCCGAUCUGAGAGGAUGUACGGCCACAUUGGGACUGAGACACGGCCCAGACUCCUACGGGAGGCAGCAGUGGGGAAUAUUGCACAAUGGAGGAAACUCUGAUGCAGCGACGCCGCGUGAGUGAAGAAGUAUUUCGGUAUGUAAAGCUCUAUCAGCAGGGAAGAAAAUGACGGUACCUGACUAAGAAGCACCGGCUAAAUACGUG
rnacentral:rRNA from 1 species